GACGAACGCUGGCGGCGUGCCUAAUACAUGCAAGUCGAACGCUUCUUUCCUCCCGAGUGCUUGCACUCAAUUGGAAAGAGGAGUGGCGGACGGGUGAGUAACACGUUGGUAACCUACCCAUCAGAGGGGGAUAACACUUGGAAACAGGUGCUAAUACCGCAUAACAGUUUAUGCCGCAUGGCAUAAGAGUGAAAGGCGCUUUCGGGUGUCGCUGAUGGAUGGACCCGCGGUGCAUUAGCUAGUUGGUGAGGUAACGGCUCACCAAGGCCACGAUGCAUAGCCGACCUGAGAGGGUGAUCGGCCACACUGGGACUGAGACACGGCCCAGACUCCUACGGGAGGCAGCAGUAGGGAAUCUUCGGCAAUGGACGAAAGUCUGACCGAGCAACGCCGCGUGAGUGAAGAAGGUUUUCGGAUCGUAAAACUCUGUUGUUAGAGAAGAACAAGGACGUUAGUAGCGGAACGUCCCCUGACGGUAGCUAACCAGAAAGCCACGGCAAACUACGUGC
rnacentral:rRNA from 1 species